AGACGCCCUGGGGUUGGAUCACAUGAUAUUGUCUUCGCGCCACUUUCGUAAAACCCCCUUUUACUCCAGGUUUUGCUCGAGCUAAAAGCCACCGGGGCGAGCAAUGCAGCAAGUGUGCCACACUUAAGAAGAGCGGCGGGGACCACUCGGGCCUGGCCACGGUGAUGAGAGGAACUCCUAGAUGGUCUUAGGGUGGCGUUGGAUGGAUUAUUUGCAAGAUAGGUGUUUCGGAGCCUCUGGAAAUGGGAGAGGACUUGACUGCGGAGGAGAUAAUGACUCGGAGAAAGGAGGGGGCCGAACUCCCUUCUUUGGAGAAUAUGGAUCCAUAAAUGUUUAAACAGAACUACUGCAGUUCUGGCAGAAAGGCUACUGCUUCAGUGAGGUUUUUUUCCAAAUGCAUCAAAAUGUGGGACCUUAGUGCCAUCUGGGCAGUAGGAAAAGAGUUGUAGAUGCUGCUUAAACAGUUUUUUUUAAUGUUACUCCAGUUCAUGAUGAAAAAUAUUAGUGAAUAUAUAUUUGAACUGAAUUGUGUUGAUCUUUCAAAUCCAGGUUUCAACGUGAUUUUUGAGAGCCCUGACCACCUACAUGCCUUAUAGGAGACACUCUUCAGAUAAACUGAAGGCUGGGUUAGAGUGGUAGAGAAAAUGUGGUUUGAGUGAUCUAUAUCACUAGGAUAUAUGUAUAUAUCGCCAGUCUUCAUGGAAUUAGCAGGAAAAUACAAAAUCGAUUUUGCCAGUUGAGGUCUUGAAGUGAGUUAGAGUUUGCAAUAAACUUGAUUGAAAGGCCCCCCGGACUGAAGAGAGUGAGUGGACC